CCUACGGGUGGCAGCAGUGGGGAAUAUUGGGCAAUGGGCGCAAGCCUGAUCCAGCAACGCCGCGUGAAGGAAGAAGGCUUUCGGGUUGUAAACUUCUUUUCUGAGGGACGAAGAAAGUGACGGUACAUCAGGAAUAAGCCACGGCUAACUACGUGCCAGCAGCCGCGGUAAUAAGUAGGUGGCAAGCGUUAUCCGGAUUUAUUGGGCGUAAGGGCCGUGUAGGCGGUAAAGCAAGUCAGAUGUGAAAACUCAGGGCUCAACCCUGGACCUGCAUUUGAAACUGUUUUUCUUGAGUGCUGGAGAGGCAAUCGGAAUUCCGUGUGUAGCGGGGAAAUGCGUAGAUAUACGGAGGAACACCAGUGGCGAAGGCGGAUUGCUGGACUGUAACUGACGCUGAGGCGCGAAAGCGUGGGGAGCAAACAGGAUUAGAUACCCUUGUAGUC
rnacentral:rRNA from 1 species